CAUCCAGAUGUGCAAGUAUGGAAGAGCAAGAUGGUGCUGAUUUUUGGAAGAGAUAUUUUGAAAAGUGCUGGUUAGAGAUAUUCUGUCAGGGAGUAAGAGGAGGAGGAGAAGAACCCGGUCAGGGCUGGGAAGAGCACAGGGGACUAUGGUGAUGGUGCACAGGAUCCAGGAAAAUUCUCAAGCGGAAAAAGGAUAUUAUUCACUUGAAGAAGUAACAGUGAUGGAAACUUGGAAAUGAAAGCAAGUGUGAGCUUUUCUGCCCUUGUGGGAGCCCGAGAGUCCUUGGGAAGAUGCACCAGAGCCCUCAGUAUGGCGUCUGUUACCCCAGAAUGUAUUCUU